rnacentral:rRNA from 1 species
AGUGAACGCUGGCGGCAGGCCUAACACAUGCAAGUCGAACGGCAGCACGGCAGUAGCAAUACUGUGGGUGGCGAGUGGCGGACGGGUGAGGAAUACAUCGGGAUCUACCCUGUUGUGGGGGAUAACGUAGGGAAACUUACGCUAAUACCGCAUAAGAACUGAGGUUGAAAGCGGCGGACCGCAAGGCGUCGCGCGAUUGGAUGAACCGAUGUCCGAUUAGCUAGUUGGCGGGGUAAAGGCCCACCAAGGCGACGAUCGGUAGCUGGUCUGAGAGGACGACCAGCCACACUGGAACUGAGACACGGUCCAGACUCCUACGGGAGGCAGCAGUGGGGAAUUUUGGACAAUGGGCGCAAGCCUGAUCCAGCCAUUCCGCGUGCAGGAUGAAGGCCU